rnacentral:lncRNA from 1 species
CAAGCACAAAGGCAAUUGAAAACAAAAGGUGAAAAGAGCACCUGAACUCAGAAUCAAUUGAGGGUACUUUUAACAUCCUCAAAAGGAUUUGUCAAAGAUGGAAAUAAAAAUAAAGUGAUGCUGUUCCAAUACUUUUUUUUUCUUUUAAUAGCAAGUGGCACGUUAUAAGUACAUGACAAAAAUGAGGUACAGUAAGUGUUAAUUGUGUCAGGCGUUAGUCAAACUCCUUUUGUUAGCUUGUUCAUAACAAUCUUACUAACUUUGCGCGCCUUACAGCUGUUCGUCCGUUUCUGAGUCUUAAUCAUUUGCAAGCUCAUCUUUCUCUUUGUUUCUGUGCAGAGGGCAAGGAGAUGGCAAAUCUGAUGAAGAAAGUUGGUGUUUGAGUCAAGCCAAAUGCUGCAUCAUGAAUAGCGAACUUCCGGAAGGCCCGUUGAGAAGUACCAUGAAGUUUCUUCUGCCAUUAAAACUGACAAGUUACAAAUAUACUGUGAAAGACAGAAUUUAAGGAUAUGUGGAAGUGAUGCAGCUCAUGAUGUGCUUCAGAAAACCUUGGUCACAUGGUGUUACUUCUUUUUUUGGAGUGGACAAGCAAACAUUCUUCAGAGGCAACAAAUAGAAAAUAAUAUAAAUGUAUUUUAAGUAUGAAUUUCUCUUGUUAAUUCAGUGAUUUUUCUUCCUG